ensembl:lncRNA
GCCAAAUAGGAGUAUUUUAUAAUCAUCUCAUUGUUUAAAGUAAAAUUGGCCUGCACUCAGUGAAGGAAUCAUGUUUGAACAUAUGUGUUGAGGUGUGACAUGCUGCUAUGUCUGUGUCUCAGCCUUCUAACAUUGUGCCAAAAUCAUUCCACAGUAUUUACAGUUUACAGUUGGAGACAGUGUGAGUGUUUCCCCUGAUGGAUGCCCUGUCUCCGAGAUACUGAAAUAAAGGGGAAACAUUCAAUUUGAGGGUUAUAUCUUUUUUUUCUGCUUAUGUAUGUUUUUAUUUCUUUGUUAAACAAAAGAUGUCUUAUUUUGGAAUCUAUGUUGGAUAGAUUUUAUUUAAGGAAAAUCUUGUAAUUUUGUAAAGUGGGCCUUAUUAUUGAAAUAUAUUGUUUGUCUAUCUUGAUUUUAAGAAUGAUUUUUUUUUUCUUUUGCAAGGUAAUGUAUCUUCAUCAUUGGUAUUACACUCCUGGAGAGUUUUUCUUCUUCUACUUCAUGUAUUAUGUGUUCUUGUUAGUUUAAUGCGAGACAUUUCUCACAACCUGGAGACGUGAUGACGCACCAUGGGACAGAUAGGAAGCCCGUUUCAAAACACAAAGAGAGAGGCCGGCGUUGUGUCAUAGUCAUUGAAGAAUGAGAGUUAUGUGGAUUUUAUCAGAGCAGAGCAGGUCAGCGGCGCUGAGCGGUUCACCAUGUGUCGUCUCGAUUUUAAUGGCGACCAUUCAGUGCUCUGGCCUCUUUUUGCUGCUGCUCUGUUCUCCCUCGCUCAUAAAUUCAGGGUUUGUACAUCUUCUGUGCUGUAUGUUUGUAAGAGCUGCCAAAGAAAGAAGCGUGCAGGCCUCAGACACUCAUUUAUAUAUAUACAUAUAUAAGACGCACACGAGUAAUCAUAACGGGAAUAAUUAAUUAAAACUUUUUAGAAAAAGAAGACAUUUUUAACUGGAUCUCAUCUCUCUUACACUCAUACAUCCACAUUUCUGGCCUGUACAAUCAAUUUAUUUUUUUUAUGGCUAAGUAAAAUUUGCGUGCAAACGAAGGAGACUGACAGACAGAGGUGUCAAACACAACAAUGUAUGUAACAAAAUCAGCUCAAAAGUGUUUUAUGAUUUAUUCUCGCUUCUCAGUGUGUGUCAGCAAUGCUAGGUGGACUGUGUGGGGAGGCUGUUUUUUCUUUUAUUUUCUGUUUUAGACUUAAUACAUUGUGCAUGUUUUAACCUUACUGUGGCUGGCGCACUCUGCAUGUAGGUCUCUCGAAGCUGCCAACUGUAAAGCAGACCAUAUGUAUUCCAAUAAAAAUAAAAACCAACCUGUUUGUAACACGUCUCCGUGUCCAAACCUGUGUUUGUGCGAGUGCAGAGCUGCUCCCUGUGUAAAAUACAACUGUGUAUGUUCGUCUCUUUUUAUGCUUUUUUGCUG